AAAGCCACAUUCAUCUCAGUCUCCUCCUCAUCAACCAUUUGGUUAAGUCCUGAAAGCUCCGCUGUCAAUUUCUCCCAUAACAUCGGGGCUACGUGGACGAAAACGACAGCGGCUUUCACAGGAUGGAUGCCAGAGAAGAGACGCUGAACCUCCUGAACAGGAUAUGGAUCAAGCUGCAGCAUCUGCCAAAUGCCAACCCCAUAGAGUUGGGAGCUUUUUUCAUCCUCUUAACCUUCAUAUUGGUGGUUCUCCUUAUGAUGAUUCUGACCUGUGUGACCUGCUGCUGUUGUCGCAAGGCCAGGAAUAAGGGAUCGAACAUUUGAGAAUGUGUUCUCCACACAAGGAUUUUUUUACCCAGUCAUUCUUUGGACACCUGUCAGGAUAAAUGAGGCAUCCCCGUACAGAGGACAGUACUUGGAACACCAAAACAGGAUGUUGUUUUGUGCCUUUUCUGCAGAGUGACAAUAGACUUUUACUGAAAGUAAUGGUAACUAAAUAGGAUAUCUGAGAUAUCUAUCUCAGUGGGCAACAGAGCGUCAUUCUGGGUGUGUUCUGUGGCACUGCAGGGGCCCAACCCUUAUAAAACAAGGCAGAUGCCAAACACAGUGCAGGAUGUCCUGACUCAGCUGCCAAACACACCUGUUAACACUUCCAGGUUUUCAGGAGAGUCAACAUUCCUGGGAGCAUCUCGAAGAGCACCAAUACUGUCUCUGACCCACUGUUUUUUUUGUAAUGUAGGCACAAACAUGGAAUGAAAGACAAAAAAUGUGUUGGACAAAUAAAUAACACAGACUGACCAAAGCGAGUUACACAGGAGAUAUUAGUGGUCAAGCUGGUUCUUUAAUGUCUUCCUUGCGUAAUUCAUCAGGAAUGAGGUUUGGCACGUAGACUAAAGGUGGCCUUCCCUCCUGAGGGGGAAGAGUUUGUUGUUUUUGUAAAGCUACAAGUGUUCCCUGGCAUAAAACAAAGACAGAGAGACCAAGUGUGCCCUCUGCUGGACAGAAAUUGAAGUGCAUGUGACAUGAGUGCAAAGACAACAGAAAAGAAAUUGUGUAAAUAUUGUGAUGCCUUGACUCAGCACUUUUACCUACUAUGAUUUCUAUGCAAUAAACAAAAAGGGAAUUAUGUG